rnacentral:lncRNA from 1 species
AUGUUCUCUUCAACAGCUGGGCCGCCGCCCCCGACCCCCCCCCCCCCCCCCGGAGGAGCCUGCGCCCUCGCCGGGCCUCGGAGCGUCUGGGCCCCCGGCUCAGGAGGGGUCGGGAAGCGCCGGCCUCAGCAGCCUGCCGAGCCCGGGGCGCGCCCACGGUGGGGUGGGUCUGGACGGCGCACAGGCCGUCCGGGCGCCCCGGGCCGCAGGGCUCAGGCUGGGCGUCCUGCGCCUGCUGGGAGCUGCUGGUGGCGGUCCCUGCCCCCCCCCCCCGCCCGAGCUGGGGCUGCAGGCGGAGACUGGGCAGGCCCGGGCGGGGCUGGCGGGGCUGGCGGCGCCCCCCACGCGGAGCGACGGUGCCUGGCGGAGCCCUUCCCCGCGGCUCCGUGCCCGCCUCCGCGCAUGCGCGUCCCUUCCACCGACCCUCCCCGCUCCCGAGCGCCCGCAAGGCCCAAGCCCCGGCCCCCCCCGCCCCCCCCGCCCCCUGGCCCUGCCUGGGGCACGCCUGGCUCCCGGUCCCGGGGCGGCUUCUGGAAACGUCUCUCUGCGGCUCCUUCUGCCUGUGCUUCCCACCCUGGCCUCCGGCCCCCGCCAGCGGCCGCUCAGCGUCCAGACCCCGUCCAAACGAGCGCUGGGUGGGAAAAGACUUGUUUAGACCGUAGAGCACGGAAGUGCCGCCCGGGCGUGGAAGCUCGCAUCAGUGUGCCCCGGGACCAGGCGCAGAAUCACCCAGGGAAAGUGGUUUCGAACAAGACAUAUUCUUCUUGUCUCGUGUGAACAAUCUGGAAGUGGGCAGUUCUCCUGCUUUGUAAAGAUGAAGAAUCAGGGCCGUCUGGGUGGCUCCGUUACUGAGCAUCCAACUCUUGGUUUUGGCUCCAGUCAUUACCUUAGGGUUGUGAGAUGUGCCCUGUGUCCAGCUCCCUACUCAGCAGGGAGUCUGCUUGACAGUCUCUCUCCCUCUUUCUCUGCCCCUCCCCUCACUCCACCCCCCUGCUCUCACUCUCUCUCUAAAAAUAAGUGAAUGAAUAAAUGAAUAAAUAAAUAAAAUCCUUUAAAAAAAAAAAGAUGCAGACACAUUCCAAUGUUUCCACUGCAUCAUUUUGAACUUGUUGGAUUUCGUCUUCAGGCUGUUUGCUCCAUGGUGCCAAGAUGGCUGCCAUAGCUCCCAGCAUCACAGGCCCAGUCAUGUUCAAAGACAGGAAGGAAAGGGACUAGGAAGAGAGCUUUCUUCUUUCAAGUUGCUCUAUAAAUCAAGGAGGGGAAAAAAAAAACAAACCUCCCUCUGAGACUUCUCUCCAAGUCUUAUUAACCAUAAAUGGGUCAUCUGGCAAACCCCAGUUACAAAAGAAGCUCCCCUGGGGGCUGCCGGAGCCCACCACGGGUCACAGAGCUGCCUCCACCUUUUUGCUCCCCUGGGAGUGUUCACACUUCGCGGUGCUCCGGGUGCAUGGCCCAAGCGAGCCUGGGACCUUGCAGGCACGUGGGUCAGGCCGCAGAGGUGCCGGCAAACUCAGCAAUCGCAUCACCACAAGAGUAUCCUGUGAUCAGGGAAGCCACCGCUCUGCUCCACAUUUUCUUCUCCUGAACAAAAUGCCCUCCUGAGCUCUACCCCGGGGAUCCGCCCAUGAGCCAAAUCUAGCCUGUGACCUAUUUCUGUACAGCUGCGAGCUAAGGAUGGUUUUUACGUUUUUAAAUGGUUGGGGGGAAAAAGGCCCCAGAAGACUAUUUCAUGACGUGAAAAGGAUAUGAAAUUCAAAUUUCUGUGUCCGUAAGUAAGGAUUUAUUGGACCUCGCAACACCUAACCCCUCGCACAUUGUCUGUGGCUGCUUUUCACGGGAUGAACCGUUGUGACAGAGACCAUAUGGCCCUUCAGUGCCUAAAUUAUUUACCAUUACAGAAAAAGUUUGCAGAGCCUGCUCUGUCCUGUCCGUUCAGCUUUCUGGAGACUUCUGUUCCACCCCAUCUCCCAGAGGAAGGAACCUUUAUUGUGCUGCGGGUACGCGGGGCUUGGAGUUCACAAGAGGCAUAGGGGAGGCUCACUCUCGCUCCUAAGCCUCGGUACCAAAGAAACCUCCCUCGGUGCUGACAUUUCGGACAUCCGAGGGGACACGGGUCGCCUGGGCUUCUGCUACCCUUCGAAGGACGGCACAGGGCGGCGGACGUUCAGAGGCCGAGGCCGCCCCGAGGCCUUGGGCUGCCGUUUCUUCCGCAGAAGCCCCUGCCUGCGCCCUGGCCCAAGGGGCGCCUGUCUGGCUUCAUAAAGAAAAGCCCUGAUGCUCCCCUCUCCUGGGCCAGCCGUUGUUGGGAUUCUUGCUGCUGAGAGGAUUCAGGAAACUCACUGGGACCUUGAAGCAGGAUGUCUUUGGGGCCGCCACGGCAGCCUCCCACCAGCUUCUCCCCGGGAACCCCAAAUUGCCAGAAGAUGGGCUGCCAUUGGCCACAGUCUUAGUCGGCGUGGCCGCGAGGCAGGGUUCCCCCCGCUUCCAUCCCCAAUGCUGCCACCUGCCGCCGCCACCGGCUCUUAGGUCUGGCUGACCCAAGAGGCAGAGGGGGAGCUGUCAGCUGGGUCCCCGGGAGCGCCUCACCGCCUGCGGCUGGUGCUGGGUGCGAGGCCGGUGGGCUCACAUGGUGGAGGAGGCCGAAGGUCCGCGGGGUGCCCUGGCCGCAAGGAGCAACCCCAGCACAGAAGACAUUUAAUCAUCUCACGUGGCAGGACGCGUGGACCAGGUGCUCUGCAGUUGCCUCAGUGGCUUAGCAGCGUCAGAGAUUCCAGCCAGCCUUCCGUUUCCCUGUCCUCACAGUAGGGUGGAGGGUGGCCGUGGCGCCAGGCGUGACAGCCAUGGUCAGAGGCAGGAAGGCCGGGGCAGCAGGGGGCUCUCACUUGCCGGGCUCUUGCCUCUUGCUCGGCAGGGAAGGCUCCAGAUGCACGUCCUCCGACGUCUCCUUGGCUAGAGCCCCUGUGAACGGGCUUGCGUGGGCCGGCAGGCGGGUCGUGCUGCCCUGCGGGCUGCCUGCUUGGAUGCACGGAGGAGAAGGGACACGAGCGCGUCUUGGAGCGGCGACGGGAGGGCCCCUUCCAUUCCUUCCUGGCCGAGCCUCCCCGCUAGAAGGUGCGGUGGAGGAGCAGGGCCACGGAGUGGGCGGUGGCAAUGCGGCUCCGCCUUAGGGCCGGAUGCGCACCUCACAUCCCCACAGGGGCCGGGGAGGCCCCCGUGAGGCCACCCGGUGGGCCAGAAAGCUGGGAACCCCGAGUAACUCCUGGGGAGGCCAGCGUGGCAAGGCCACCCGCGGGCCUACAAACACUCAGAUUGCCGGGCGCUGGGCAGGCCUGAACUGCGGCAGGAAGGUUCCCCACCUCUCCUCCCCACCCUUCCUCCCCUUUGUGCAUCACCCAAGUAGGAAAUGCUGCGCACCCCCCUUCCCUGCCUCACCCCCCCCCCCCCACGUCUAGCUGGUGGAGGUGGCUAGUGUUGCCCACCUGCAAGGCUGCCGCUGGGCCAAGCAGCCCACCAGUUUCCAGAGCAGGCGCCUCCCCGCGCCCCUGCCAGUGUCCUCUCCUCCCGGCACCCCACCCACCCAUCCCCCGACACCUCCUCUGGUGGGCCCUCCUUGCAGGACCCAGCGGUUGGCGCCUGUAGGGCUUCGGGCCGCCCCGGGGUGGCCCCGGCGCUCUCAGGACGCAGCUCCAGGCACUGUUCUCUCUUCUCUGGUUUCUUAAAUAGUGCUUGUGUUAUGAAAAAUCAAACCCAGUGUCCAACGAAUGGUUUACGUUCCUCAAACUCUAAAAUAGUUUAACCAGGAGUACUUUUCUCCCAUCAAUUAUUUGAAGGAAGAGUAGCUUGAAUAAUAUCUCAGCUGGAAGGGAUUUCGCUGAAACUACAGCAACUUGACAGCCUCCACCCGCUCCGGGGAGCGCAUAAGAUGCGCCGCGGUGCCACGGGCUCCUGCGCUUUACAGGACACUGUUUAUGGUGAGGACACUGGUGCCUGGAGCUCCUUCCUUGGCCUGUCCCAGGGAGUGAUGAGGGGCCUCUGCUCUGCCCAGAGGGGACUGCUGGGGGUGACAUUUCAACCCGGCUUCUCUGGGACCGCUUGGCCACAGGUCUGUCUGGGUCUGUCUGCAACUGAUGCGUCAAGUGCAAAACAGCAAAACAUUAAGGAGAGCCCUACCGGGCUCUUGUUUUAAAAGCCUAUUAUUUUAAUUUCCAAAGCUUUUACAGGGAAUGGGCAGCAAAUAGAGCAACGGCAACGCACUGUCUGCCUUCUAAUUAUGACAAUUCAUGACUCAGAAUCUCAAACUGGGUAUUUCUUUGGCCACUCUUCCCAGCAUCCCCUCUGAAAGUGUCGGCCUGAGGAGGGGAUGCUGAUUGGGGGGAUGCUGAUGUGAUGCAUCGGAUUACAGACCUUGCUGGGGGCGGGUAGUAAUGGUGUCUACAGCAGGGCAGAGUGGGGGAAGAACUAAAACAUAUUUCAUUAAAAAGCAAGAGAAAUCCCAUCAACCCUCAUCCCUGCACACUCAUCGGACUGUGGUCUAUUUACUGAACAUCAUGAGUGUUUAUUUCGUUUUAUUGGGAAAAAAGAAAAGACCCCAACGGCAUUACCUCACACAAACACAUCUAAAAAGAAAAUCAAGUUUAUGUGUAUGAUGCUUGUCAACCUUAUCUCAAGGAGGCCCACUUCCUGGCCUGAUGGGAUCCUGACCCGUUUCUCGGAGCACCCAGGGCGGGCCAGCCCCCUCUCCCGGGGGUGCCGUGUUCCCCACCACCCUCCCUCUGUUGAAAAAAAGCUGUCAAAGAGAUGCUCUAUUUCGGGAGCCCGGAUCCCACCCCUCCCUGUUUCAGGUUUUCCUCAAAUACCAGCUGGACACUGUUCUCUAAAAGUGAAUUUGGUCGUUUCCGUUCUGGUGGCAAAGGCGAGGUGAAGAAGCCCGCCGUGUCACCUCCAGUUACCCUCCUGCUGAGUCUGCUCCAGCCUGGCCUCACUCGCGCCGCGCCCUGCCAGGCUCAGCGUGGUCCCCGGGGACAUCCACGCGCCCGCAUCCCUCCUGCAGGUUGACCCUCUGACCUCCCCUGGCCUGGCCUGGGCCCCGUCCACCUGCUCCUCCGGCCCGCUGCAGAGGCUCUUGGCCUUCUUUCUCUGUCUCCCCCCUCCCCGCCGGGCCUCGGUGGACACCCUGGCCCCCCGCCCCCCGGCUCGCUCGUCCUGCUUUCUCCUCUGAAGCACAGGCCUGUUCAUGCAGCUCCUCAGAUGCCCACUGGCUCCUCCCCCGCGGCCAGUCUGCUCUUGAAGGCUUCCCGAGGGGUCUCCGCCUAGCCCGUGACUCAGGCCCCGGUCACAUCCUCGGUGGCUGCGCUGUCCCUCACAACUACUGCCACUGCCUGUGGUCAGGCCCUUCGCUCUCCGUGUUCUCUCCUGCUCCAAGUCUCCCCACUGCCCUCCUGCCUCUGGGCCAGGGGUCUCCACACUUGUGUUGAUCGUGCGUCCCUAUUAGAAACAAUUGUAGCAGGCACUCCCGGGACACGUAUGUGAACUUACACACUGUAUGCACAAACCAUUUGUUAGCAAACUAUAAAACACUCACAAAAAUGGACUAUUUAUUUAUUUAUGAGAGACACAGAG